AUCAUAGGAUUUCGGUCCUAUUGUGUUGGCCUUCGGGAUCGGAGUAAUGAUUAACAGGGACAGUCGGGGGCAUUCGUAUUUCAAAGUCAGAGGUGAAAUUCUUGGAUUUAUGAAAGACGACCAAAAAAGGAAGCAUUUGCCAAGGAUGUUUUCAUUAAUCAAAAAAAAAAAAAGAGCGGCCGCAAAGCUAUUGGAGGGUC
rnacentral:rRNA from 1 species